rnacentral:rRNA from 1 species
UUAAAUUGAAGAGUUUGAUCAUGGCUCAGAUUGAACGCUGGCGGCAGGCCUAACACAUGCAAGUCGAACGGUAACAGGAAGCAGCUUGCUGNCUUUGCUGACGAGUGGCGGACGGGUGAGUAAUGUCUGGGAAACUGCCUGAUGGAGGGGGAUAACUACUGGAAACGGUAGCUAAUACCGCAUAACGUCGCAAGACCAAAGAGGGGGACCUUAGGGCCUCUUGCCAUCGGAUGUGCCCAGAUGGGAUUAGCUAGUAGGUGGGGUAACGGCUCACCUAGGCGACGAUCCCUAGCUGGUCUGAGAGGAUGACCAGCCACACUGGAACUGAGACACGGUCCAGACUCCUACGGGAGGCAGCAGUGGGGAAUAUUGCACAAUGGGCGCAAGCCUGAUGCAGCCAUGCCGCGUGUAUGAAGAAGGCCUUCGGGUUGUAAAGUACUUUCAGCGGGGAGGAAGGGAGUAAAGUUAAUACCUUUGCUCAUUGACGUUACCCGCAGAAGAAGCACCGGCUAACUCCGUGCCAGCAGCCGCGGUAAUACGGAGGGUGCAAGCGUUAAUCGGAAUUACUGGGCGUAAAGCGCACGCAGGCGGUUUGUUAAGUCAGAUGUGAAAUCCCCGGGCUCAACCUGGGAACUGCAUCUGAUACUGGCAAGCUUGAGUCUCGUAGAGGGGGGUAGAAUUCCAGGUGUAGCGGUGAAAUGCGUAGAGAUCUGGAGGAAUACCGGUGGCGAAGGCGGCCCCCUGGACGAAGACUGACGCUCAGGUGCGAAAGCGUGGGGAGCAAACAGGAUUAGAUACCCUGGUAGUCCACGCCGUAAACGAUGUCGACUUGGAGGUUGUGCCCUUGAGGCGUGGCUUCCGGAGCUAACGCGUUAAGUCGACCGCCUGGGGAGUACGGCCGCAAGGUUAAAACUCAAAUGAAUUGACGGGGGCCCGCACAAGCGGUGGAGCAUGUGGUUUAAUUCGAUGCAACGCGAAGAACCUUACCUGGUCUUGACAUCCACGGAAGUUUUCAGAGAUGAGAAUGUGCCUUCGGGAACCGUGAGACAGGUGCUGCAUGGCUGUCGUCAGCUCGUGUUGUGAAAUGUUGGGUUAAGUCCCGCAACGAGCGCAACCCUUAUCCUUUGUUGCCAGCGGUCCGGCCGGGAACUCAAAGGAGACUGCCAGUGAUAAACUGGAGGAAGGUGGGGAUGACGUCAAGUCAUCAUGGCCCUUACGACCAGGGCUACACACGUGCUACAAUGGCGCAUACAAAGAGAAGCGACCUCGCGAGAGCAAGCGGACCUCAUAAAGUGCGUCGUAGUCCGGAUUGGAGUCUGCAACUCGACUCCAUGAAGUCGGAAUCGCUAGUAAUCGUGGAUCAGAAUGCCACGGUGAAUACGUUCCCGGGCCUUGUACACACCGCCCGUCACACCAUGGGAGUGGGUUGCAAAAGAAGUAGGUAGCUUAACCUUCGGGAGGGCGCUUACCACUUUGUGAUUCAUGACUGGGGUGAAGUCGUAACAAGGUAACCGUAGGGGAACCUGCGGUUGGAUCACCUCCUUACCUUAAAGAAGC